ACACGUGGUCCAGGAGCAUAGCCCCAGCAUCCCUGGAGGCCUGGUGGGAAAUUCUGGGCCCACAGCUGUGGGAUUGAGAAUCUGCAUUUUAACAAGCUCCCUUGGGGAUUCCUCUGAAGCCAGCCCCUGGCUUCUAUUCCAGAGGCUCCGUUGGUAUGUGUGGCAUUAGAGACUUAAGAGAGCCAGCAAUCACAGGUGCCAGGCAACAUUGGGGAGAGAGCUUAACUUGUUUUCACUUAACUGAUCUUCUCUGGGGGUGGGGAGGAGUCCCUGUUGCCAUGGUGGUUUCAAAGAUGAAGAAACACAGGAGUUACUGGACUGGCCAGAGCUAAAAUGCUAACCUUCAACUUUUCUUUCAGGGGUUCUGAGGAGUGAGCCUACCCAUUAAAAUUUUUGCAUUAAAGUGUUUGCAUGGCAAACACCACUCACUCACUACUCAGGAUCUGACAGCCACCCUAUGCUGCCUGUUUGGCUUCGGACCCCAGGACAAGGAACUGAGCAACUUCCUUGGGCUCCUUCCUUGUGGCCAGUGAAAUCGCCUGAGAACCGCUUCCCAAUAAACCUGCGUUUAAUAUAAUCU
rnacentral:lncRNA from 1 species